rnacentral:rRNA from 1 species
AUUGAACGCUGGCGGCAGGCCUAACACAUGCAAGUCGAACGGUAGCACAGAGAGCUUGCUCUCGGGUGACGAGUGGCGGACGGGUGAGUAAUGUCUGGGAAACUGCCCGAUAGAGGGGGAUAACUACUGGAAACGGUAGCUAAUACCGCAUAACGUCGCAAGACCAAGUGGGGGACCUUCGGGCCUCACACCAUCGGAUGUGCCCAGAUGGGAUUAGCUAGUAGGUGGGAUAAUGGCUCACCUAGGCGACGAUCCCUAGCUGGUCUGAGAGGAUGACCAGCCACACUGGAACUGAGACACGGUCCAGACUCCUACGGGAGGCAGCAGUGGGGAAUAUUGCACAAUGGGCGCAAGCCUGAUGCAGCCAUGCCGCGUGUAUGAAGAAGGCCUUCGGGUUGUAAAGUACUUUCAGCGGGGAGGAAGGCGGUGAAGUUAAUAGCUUCACCGAUUGACGUUACCCGCAGAAGAAGCACCGGCUAACUCCGUGCCAGCAGCCGCAGUGA